rnacentral:rRNA from 1 species
CAGCGCCACGGUAAUACGAAGGGGGCUAGCGUUGCUCGGAAUUACUGGGCGUAAAGGGCGCGUAGGCGGACAGUUCAGUCGGGGGUGAAAGCCCGGGGCUCAACCUCGGAAUUGCCUUCGAUACUGGCUGUCUUGAGUAUGAGAGAGGUGUGUGGAACUCCGAGUGUAGAGGUGAAAUUCGUAGAUAUUCGGAAGAACACCAGUGGCGAAGGCGACACACUGGCUCAUUACUGACGCUGAGGCGCGAAAGCGUGGGGAGCAAACAGGAUUAGAUACCCCCGUAGUCCCUGUCUCUUAUACA